rnacentral:rRNA from 1 species
GAUGAACGCUAGCGGCAGGCUUAAUACAUGCAAGUCGAGGGGCAGCAUGAUUGUAGCAAUACAAUUGAUGGCGACCGGCAAACGGGUGCGGAACACGUACACAACCUUCCAAUAAGUGGGGAAUAGCCCAGAGAAAUUUGGAUUAAUACCCCGUAACAUAACGAUGUGGCAUCACAUUGUUAUUAUAGAUUUUUCGCUUAUUGAUGGGUGUGCGGCUGAUUAGAUAGUUGGCGGGGUAACGGCCCACCAAGUCUACGAUCAGUAGCUGAUGUGAGAGCAUGAUCAGCCACACGGGCACUGAGACACGGGCCCGACUCCUACGGGAGGCAGCAGUAAGGAAUAUUGGACAAUGGACGCAAGUCUGAUCCAGCCAUGUCGCGUGAAGGAUUAAGGUCCUCUGGAUUGUAAACUUCUUUUAUAAGGGACGAAAAAAGGCUUUUCUAAGUCGUCUGACGGUACCUUAUGAAUAAGCACCGGCUAACUCCGUGCCAGCAGCCGCCGCAGUAA